GCAGAGUUUGGAGAAAAUGAAAGACAAAGUGCGAGAUUGGUUACACUAUGCUCAGAUUAAAGAAGUUUUUAAAAAUGAUAAGAAACUAGGGUUCCAGGUGGAGAAAUCGAAAUUAGAAACAGAAUUGUUAGAACCAAAGAUUAAGAUACUUUCAAGGAUGUAUAACUUGCUGUUGGAAUGGAAUACACAAGAUGAAAUGGUUAAAUCGGCUAUGAUAAGGUGGGCACAGGAUAUUGGGCAUAAUAUUAUGUUUGAGGACUGGGAAAGGCUGUGGAGUAAUGGAUUGAAAUUUACUGCAUGUAAUGCUUUGAAAGAAAAUGUAAUGAAAAUGAUUUAUAGAUGGUAUAUGACCCCAGUCAAACUCGCAAAAAUUUACCACCUGUCUGAUAACAAGUGCUGGAAAUGUAAAGAGUGUGAAGGAACGUUCUUUCACCUCUGGUGGACCUGCCCUAAAGUGAAGGCGUUCUGGGAAAUGAUUUAUAAUGAACUGAAAAAGGUAUUUAAAUAUACUUUCACUAAGAAACCAGAGGCUUUCCUUUUGGGUAUUGUCAGCCAAGGGGUGGCAAAGAAGGACCAGACAUUUUUUAUGUAUGCAACAACAGCAGCAAGGAUACUACUCGCAAAACAUUGGAAAACUCAAGAUCUACCCACACUGGAAGAAUGGCAGAUGCAACUGAUAGACUAUAUGCAACUGGCUGAAAUGACUGGCAGAAUCCGUGACCUGGGAGAAGAGAGAAUCGAGGAGGAUUGGAAGAAAUUUAAGAACUAUCUACAAAAACAUUGUGAUUUGACUGAAUGCUGAAUAAGAUGCUAGACUAAAUAACUGAGCACCACUUAACUUAGAAAUUUUUAAGAAAAUAAGAAAAACUGUGAAAGUUUAACUCUUUAUGAGAACUUUAAGAUUAUGAAAUAUUGAAGAGAUAUAAGAACUUAAAUAAGAUGAUAAAUUGCUGACAAAAUGUUAUAAUGAUGAAGGUGGGAGCGGGAGAUGUGAGGAAGUCCAAAGAAAAUGUGAAACUAUGUUAAGACGAAUGUUAUAUUGUUUAUUACAUUUAUUCUUAUUGUAAAAUCCAAUAAAUUGCUUU
rnacentral:lncRNA from 1 species